UACGUAGGUGGCAAGCGUUGUCCGGAUUUACUGGGCGUAAAGCGUGCGCAGGCGGUGAGUUAAGUCUGAUGUGAAAGCCCCGGGCUCAACCUGGGAAUGGCAUUGGAAACUGGCUCGCUGGAGUGUGGCAGAGGGGGGUGGAAUUCCGCGUGUAGCAGUGAAAUGCGUAGAGAUGCGGAGGAACACCGAUGGCGAAGGCAGCCCCCUGGGCCAACACUGACGCUCAGGCACGAAAGCGUGGGGAGCAAACAGG
rnacentral:rRNA from 1 species